UCUCGGAUUGUUUAAAAUGUGUAAUAUUUGUUUUAAUGGAAUGCUUUACUCCUUUUACUCUUUUAGGCUUGUCUUCUUUCAGUGAUUUGAGUAGUCCUUAAAAGAUAUUCAGGGAUUAAGUACCCAAGAAAGUGCAAAACGGAAUGACGAAAUUCUGAAAAUAAGAUCAAGAUUGUGCUUUGUUGACCAUCAGGAGUAUACGUGUGUUGAAAUCAUUCAGAAGGCAGGAUCACAAGAUUAAUGUAAGACAUGAAACACAUGUUGGUGAUCCAAGCCCUUGAACACACUGGUGUCGUGAUAAAUGUGUCUUCACCUACUAUCAGUUUUGUCCAUUCAUCAAGAUUUGCGAAAUUGGUUACAGCUUUUGCAAGAAAUGGUCACAGAUGAGAAGUAUAGAUUGAGCUGUUGAACCAUCUCAGGAAAUGUCAAUAGUGCAGCCCAAUUCAGAGUAAUGGAAGAAUCUCCGAUGAAAUCUCUUUAUUCGCAUUGAGAACACUAGAGACAUCACUGUUGGCAGUUAACUAAUCAUGGCAAUAUAUGGGAGCUAGUGAAGAUCUCAACUUUUCGAUGGCUCAAUGGUACAUGCAUGGUUUUCUUAGUUUACAUGAAUAGUGACUAAUUCAUUCAUGGUUUGGGGUAAAAUAUUUAAUCCAAAGUUACUGUUAUAUUGCAGAGA